CUUUAGGGCCUGGUUUCUGCAUCCCAACAGAUGACAAUAACAUUUCAAACAACCACAUGAAAUGGCGUUGUUAAAAUCCCAUCUUUGUGAUACUUAGCCAUUGUCAUGGUACUUCCUCUUCAUGCUUUUGCAUUUCACAAGAAGAUACUAAUUCCAUUUGAAAAGUAGAUGGAUACUGAUGAGUGCAGGAUGGAAAAUAAAAAUGCAUCAGCUGGCCUCUGCUCGCUUACCUGCCCCUGGUUAGGUUCCUCCGGCUCAGUGUGUUCACCAGGCAACCAGCCUGAGAUCAUCGCCUGGGAGCAGUUUUCUGAUUACCUAAGUUCCUACCACUGCUUUGGCAUAUUGGACUCAAUGAACAUUACUUUCAAAAUAACAAAACUUGAGUUGAACCAUGACAGCAGCAAACGUCUCACUCAGUGCCAAUUUCUUUGUCCUCUAGAUUGCUGUCUCCUCCGGGACAAGCCUAUUCACUGAUAGGCAUGUCCCCAGCACUUGGGGCAGGACAGAUGUUCUGUUCCAGCCACCACUAGCCCCCAGGCCCCUGCCUGUAAGUCAGGAAAAGUUUCCUGUCGGGUGGAUCAUAGCCCCUCUCCCCUCUGCAAGACGCUGGCUGCCAAGCUCAGCCCUCACAGGCACUGAGACCCCUGACUCUCAGGACUGCACCCAGCUCACAAGAAGACCGAUGUCCUCCAUCCCUGCCUGGGCCUGUACAGUUGGUUCUCAAUCAGCUGGCCACGCUCUCUGCAGUCAGUGGUCACCAGCAGGGCUUAACUUGCCUCCACGUCCCUGAUUUUAAAGGCCUCCCCAGGGACUUAGACUUGUAAGCAGGGACCAUGGUGGAUGGUAGGAAGCAUGGCAUCAGCCGAGACUCCGAGUCAGGCGGCAGUGCAGG
rnacentral:lncRNA from 1 species